UGACCUAUCAGCUUUCGACGGUAUGGUAUUGGCUUACCGUGGCAGUGACGGUUAACGGGGGAUUAGGGUUCGAUUCCGGAGAGGGAGCCUGAGAAACGGCUACCACAUCUAAGGAAGGCAGCAGGCGCGCAAAUUACCCAAUUCUAACAGUUUGAGAGAGGUAGUAACAAGAAAUAACAAUACAAGGCAGUUAAAAUGCUUUGUAAUUGGAAUGAUAGAAAUUUAAACCCUUUUUAAAGUAUCAAUUGGAGGGCAAGUCUGGUGCCAGCAGCCGCGGUAAUUCCAGCUCCAAUAGCGUAUAUUAAAAUUGUUGCAGUUAAAAAGCUCGUAGUUGAAGUUCUGCUAAAAGUAACCGGUCUGCUUUGAAUAAAAGUGGUAUC
rnacentral:rRNA from 1 species